UCUCCCACGUUGAUCCCUCUCGUUCCAGGACUCCUCAGCUUCAGAAAAUCUCCAAAGACACAGACUGUCAUUAUUCAGCAAAGCUUUCAAAGGACUGGUUUCGGUAUUCACACUCAACUGCCAUUGCUCUCCAUGAUCUCCCAUCUCCUGCUUUUCAAUAAACCUGCCUGUUGUUCACUUACCUGAUGUUUCUGGCCCCGUUUGUGACAGAAGACCGGACCUGAAACAUUCACCUCCAUGGAUCUUUGGCUCCACUACAGGAACCCUCUCGGUGUCUGACCAGCUGCUCCGAUUGCGCCAGGGCACCAUGUCCACCAACAAAUAUACCGUGCAGUUUCGGACGCUGGCGGCGACCAGCAGGUGGAAUGAGGCAGCGCUCCUCAGCAUCUACCGGCAAGGCUUAGAUCCCCGCAUUCGUACUCAGAUGGUGAUCUGUCAUGAUUUAAUUGGUCUAAAGAGCUUUAUGCAGAAGCCCAAUCGCAUUGCCCAAUGCCUGUCAGCCUGCCAUAUAGUGGAAGCUGCUCACCAGUCUGGCGCACCCGCCACCAGUCCUCCAGUACCAGAGCCCAUGCAACUGGACUCCACUAGACUCUCCCAUACUGAAUGUGCUCGCCGCCUUGCGUCAGACCCCCCACGCCCAGCGGGGGAGGAGCCCCAUUCGAACACGUCUGCGUGAGCGCGCGAUUUUUGAAGAGACCUGAGACCGGUUGAUGAUGCAUGCGAUGGAUUUGGAAAACCUCAUGAAACGACUAAAGAGCCAACUGAUACUAGGUUUCUGGUGUUCAGAGGGAUCCCUCUUGCCCUUUGCGA